AGAGACGCCAUUGCCACUGACACUGUGGCACCCAAACCCCCGUCUACUGCAGGCUGGCAGAGCCCUCCACAGACCCCGGAGCCCAAACAGCCUUUGUGGUGCAGCCAAGGGAUGGAAAAACUGAGCCCAGAGUGGGGCCAGGACAUACCCAACAUCAUAGCGCAGAUGAAGACACAGCCAGGACCAGAACUCAAAUCUCCUACACCAGUGGGCUUCCCCCCUGAGCCUGAACAUGGAGUCACCACUGGCUCAGUGAUUACUGAGUGGAAAGGGAUUCGAGACGGCAGAGCACUGUGCAGAGAUAGCUGGGCAUGAGGGGAGAGAAUGCAAGCCUCAGCUGGGAAUCGGGACUCUUGGAUUCUCAUCUUCUCAGAUUGACUUAAUUCACCACUUCAGAGAGGUACUCCUUGGGAUCAUAAAUGAACUACCUGCAACUCACAUCCUAGUGUGAGUUGCAGGGUCUGCUUUCAGAUCAGCCCAAACUCAGGUAUGAACACAUCGCAUGUCAUCUCAUCUCACCUUCACAACACCCCUGGGAGGUGGGCCUGCUGCCCCACUCUACAGAAACAAAUGCUCAGAAAGCUUAAGGUCAUUGUCAAGAAUAUGGCAGAUCUGGAAUUUCUCCCCAGGACUGUCUGUCUCCAGAGCCAACACUCAACUAUCACGUUAUGCAUCAUCCCACCUCACCCCCAGGGACCUCCCUCAUAAUGGAAGCAGCAGCAAAGACUUCAUAAUGAACAGCACCAGAUUCUAGAGGCACCUGCAUUCCUUGGCUUGUGGCCUCUUCCUCCAUCUCAAAGUGCAUCGCUCCAAUUUCUGCUUCUGUCAUCACAUCGCCUUUUCCUCCAGCUCCGACUCCUCCUGCAUCCAUCUGAAAAGGAUAAUCCAGGAUAUUCUCCCUAUCUCAAGAUCCUUCAUCACAUCUGCAAAGUCUCAGGUAUGGGUGGGGCUGAGGAUAUAAUCAGUUCUGGGCAAAAUUCCUCUGGAUGUGCAGAUUUGUGAAACUAGAAAACAAGCUUUCUGCUCCCAAAAUACAGUGGUGGGACAGCAUAAGACAACAGUUAUAGACAUUUCCAUUCAAAUAGGGAGAAAAUGGAAGGAAAAAAGGAGUCACCAGUCCCAAGCAAUUUCAAAAUCCAAUCAGACAAACUCCAUCAGGUUUCAAGGCCUGGGAAAAAUCCUCUGCCCUCUGUAUGCAAAACAGCAACAACAGCAGCAACUUUGGACCUUACCUCACACCAUCUAUAAAAAUGAACUCAAAUGAAUUAUAGUCCCCUAAAGAAGCAUUAUGCUAAGUGGAAAAGCCAGACACAAAAGCACACAUCAUAUAGGAUUCAGUACAUAUGAAAUUCUAGGAAAUACACAGCUAUCAUGACAGAAGGCAGAUCAGUGACGGCCAGUGGCCAGGUAGCAGGGGUGGAAACUGAUUGACAACAAAGGAGUGUGGGGUGGCUGUUGGGGGUGAUGGAAAUGUUCUCACAACUGUAUAUGUUUUCAAAACUCAUCCAACUAUAUACUAGAAAGGGUGACUCUUAUUAUAUGUAAACUAUACCCUAAUUUUUUUUUUCUGAGACAGAGUCUCGCUCUGUCGCCAAGCUGGAGUACAGUGGUGCGAUCUCACCUCACUGCAACCUCUGCCUCACUGCAACCUCUGCCUCCCGGAUUCAAGCGAUUCUCCUGCCUCAAGCUCCUGAGUAGCUGGGACUACAAGCGCGUACCACCACACCCAGCUAAUUUUUGUAUUUUUAGUAGAGACAGAAUUUCACCAUGUUGGCCAGGAUGGUCUCGAUCUAUUGACCUCGUGAUCUGCUUGCCUUGGCUUCCCCAAGUGCUGGGAUUACAGGCGUGAGCCACUGCGCCCUGCCCCCAAUUUUAAAAUAGUGUCUUGACUAUUCUUGGUAUAAGACAAAUAAAGAAGGGAAGGAAGAAAUGAAGGAAGGAAGAAGGAAGGAAGGAAGGGAGGAAGGAAGGAAGGAAGGAAGGAAGAAGGAAGGAAGGAAGGAAGAAGGAAGAAGGGAGGGGAAGGGAAGGGAUGGGGAGGGAAGGGAUGGGGAGGGAAGGAAGAAAUGAAGGAGGAAAGAGUCAACUUCAACAGGCUAGGGAGUGGGUGGCCUCCAUCAGCCAGGAGGGUCCUGUGACCCAGGCUUUAGGCUGCUGGACACCGCUGGACAGGCCUAUUGGAGUUUGGGUCCCUGGACCUCUGGGGAAGGCAUCUCCUGCCCCACCUUUCUGGGACAGAAAAGCAGUCAGAGCACACCUGGAUUUCCAUGUUAUCCCAGAAAGCAGUCAUGACCCCUUAGCAGGAUCUUCCCUCAUAGUGCUCGGUUUCUUCGUGAGAGCAGAGAUUUUAGUCUGUUCCAAACUAAGGGUAGGGAGCCUAUCCCAGUUCACGCAGCCCAUGCCUUUUGGCCCCAAAGCCCUGCUGCUGGACCAAGGCACCAACUGCCUGAUGUGGAGUCCCUGGGGGCUCAGCUCAGGCCUCCGCCGCAGGGACAGGCCUUGUGGGUACUAAUCCACAUGAGCCUUGAGUGGCUUCUGAUUCUCUCCAGUCAAGGAGCUGCCUCUGCCCCCCUCAAGGAUGGGCCUCUAAUGGGCCCUGGUUUCCCUGUAGAGUAGGCACAAAUAGCUCAGGCUCUGGAGCCAGAUGGCCCGGGUUCAAACCCUGGUUCUGCUGUUUGCCUUGUGGUAUGACCCAGGGCAGGGUAUUCAAUGCAUUCCUGUCUCCCCUCCUGUAAAGUGAGGCGAAUGGUACUACCUACCUCCAAGAACCAGGAGGAUUAGAUGAGCUCAUCUGGGAAAAGGUUAACGGUGGAGUGUGGGCCCAAUAAGUGUUGGCUAUUGUCAUCACUGACCACUGGCAAAGAGCCCCUGGCCUGCUUCCCCUUGGGUUUCCAAAGCCCAGCCCCCUGCCCACGACCACAAGGCUGAGCAGAGACAAACUGCUUUCUUGGAGGGCUGGGCCCGGCCCUGCCACCCAUUUCAGUGUCCCACCAUGCAGGGGUCCCUCAAUCAAUAGCCUGGCUGAUUGUGGCUUUGGGGUCUCAACCACCAGCCACAGGAGUCCAGCUGGUCCAGACCACAGGUCCACCCGGGGCUGGAGCUGGGAAUUGAGGAGGUGACAGCGGGUGGGGUGGGUGUGAGCUGUCACCUGCGUUACUUCUGUGGGUCCACAGGGGCCUGCACUCUGCUGACGCCAGCCCCGGGAGACAAAGGAGGGCCUGGGGUGGGGCCCGGGAGGUGCAGGGUAGUGGGCCAGUGACCAGUCUCAGCUGCACCCACGCCUUGCUGGUGAGCUUUGCCAAACCACUUUUCUCUGAGCCUCAUUUGCUCCUCUGUAAAAUGGAGGGGACGGGGGAAAUCCCCACCGCCUUUGCUUUGGACACGGUCUGGUAUUUCGGGCUGGGCCUGGUGCCUUGGUGCUUUACAUCAACUCGUUAACUCUCACUACAGCCCCUGAGGUGCAUGCUAUGAUUUUCCCCAUUUUAAAGAUGCAGAAACUGAGGCUUACAUGUUCCAAAAAGCUUUAUCUUUGGGGAGAUUAGGCCAGCUGUGAAGCUCGUGUCACAAAUGGGGACGCUGAGACUCAGGGAAGUGACCAGCCUGGCCUAGAGCUGGCCUCCUUCAGGGAGGCCAGGUCCCUGAAGGAGGCCAGGUUCCAGGUUUAGGAAGAAAUGCUUUCCUUCCCAGGCCCACCCCUCCCAGGCCCAUUUGCUCACCUGCAAGUUAAUGUGGGGGCUGUUUUUUUCCACUUUCUAUUUUUCAAGGCUGCUACCAAAGGGGCCACGCAGGACGUCCUCUGGGGAAUGCUGGCUCCCACACCACCCGCCUCGGCUCCUGGGCCAAGGUUUUGCCUUGAUCUGUCCAUCCCACUGCACAUGGCUUCAAGGAGGCAUUCAUGGGAAUCCCUGCUCAGGUCAGGCAGCAUCGUGUCAAGGUCAUGGCCCCUUGAAGAUUCUUUGAGGAAGUGGCUGUUGAGCUCCCAACCCCAGGGCUGGAGCAGGAGGAUCAGACACCCCGGCCUCAGCCCCAGAGCAUGAAAGCCCUCCCCACUCACCCAGCUGCUCUGCAGACCCACACUUGCACACAACUCCAUGUGCCACUGACCAGCUCUGACCUCGUCCUGGGCAAGGCUGGCGGGGCCUAGACCCAAACCCACAACAGUGUGUGGCUCCCAGGGAGGCAGCGUUUCCUGGGCACCAGCUCUUUAGAGAAUGCCUUCAGAAGUCCCCAUCCAGCCUCUCCCCUCAUGAAAUCCUGUCCUUGAAUCAUCCAGCCUAGCCCCCUGAGUAGCUGUGCAUUUCCGAGACCCCGAAUCCAUAAUAUUCAUAUGAAUGAGGUGGAGGGCAGGGAGAAUCGCUGCCAUUUAUUCAACCCUUAAUAAAUGCUGGGGGCUGCACAAAGCACUUUAAAUAAAUACAGCCUCUCAUUUUAAUCCUAAACAGGCCUGUGAGGGAGGUGCCAUGAUUACCCUUGUUUUAUAGAUGAUGAAAGCUAGGGCUCAGAAGAUGAAGUCCUUUACCAAAGGUCACACAGCUAGAAAGCAGAGAGGCCAGGAGUAGCACCCACUUGCUACAAGAGACUGGCCCCUCCAGACACAGUCCUUCCCGACAGCCUCUUUGAGGUUUCCCUGGACCUAGCCCAUCGGGACACUGUCCUCACAGCAAAGUAGCAGCCCCAGGCUGGGCACACGGCAGGAACCCUGUGCUGUGGCCCCCCGACCCAGUCCUGUGAACCCUUCCUUACUCCUCUGGCUCUGCUGGGACCAUGCUCUCCACCCCAGAGCUGGGAUAGCUGGGCCCUCUCCUCGCCCUCUCAUCCCAGCGUCCAGCCUCUGUGGGUAGACACGAAUGACUUAUUAGGGCUCUGAAAAGGGGCUGUGGAUGUGUCUGCCAUGGUCAGUCCCUGGGGCGAGAGCCAGCGUCCAAGGCCAUGCUUGCCUGCCCUGGUCACCAGAAAGGGCUGGGAGAGGAGGAAGAACUGGGAGCAGGUUAGGACUUCAGAGCUCCCCUAGCUACUCACCAACCUCAGGGACAGGCAGGGGCCAGCCCCUGGAGAAGCCCCCCGUACCUGCUCCCCACCCCACCAUACACACGCAGUCUCCCUACAGUGUCCCCCUCCCUUCCUGGCCCCUGAGUCUCCGAGGCAGCAGGAGGAGCAGCAGAAGAUCCCAGGACGUGAAGUUCAAAGACAGACAGUCACCCCAGCCACCUGUCUCCCAUCACCAUCGCCAUCACCAGGGCCUCUGAGCCCCACACCCCUCCUCACUGCCCAUGUGUCCCCAUUUCUCAGGGUCCCUAUGUUCUGAUGGUGUCACAAGCCCUAGGAGUUAAAAAGUGACAGUUCCCUUCACCUUCUUCUCCUCUCUACAAUCCCCUGCCCCUCCUAGCAGGUGAGCCCCGCUAGCAGGUUGGUGUCUAUUCUACAGACCCUUUUAUGUGCAUUAAAAAAACUCCACAUGGAUAUCACAGAGAUCGACAUAUGUAGGAUUUACUUUACAGAAAUAGCGCCAAGCCAUAUACAUUUUUCUCUGAUGUGCCUUUUUUUAGUAGUGUGGAAAUCUUUCCAUAUUUAUGUAUACACAUCUACCAUAAUUCUUAGCUAUUGCAGAUUUUAUACUGAAAAGAAAACAGAAAGGCUAAGGCUAAAUACCCAUACUCCCAUAGCUUUUUUGUCAAGUACAUGAACGAAGAAGUAAAAGCCUCCAAACAUAGCAUAUGAAUCUUUCGUAUCCUUUUCCCAAGAUUACGGAGGCGGAGCUGUGUGGAUGUGCACUGGUUCAAACAUAGUCAUGCAUUUUCUUACAGAGUGGCAUCAUGCCAGUCGUGCUGCUUUAUUAUUAAUUUUUCUGCUUAGCAGUCUGUCUUGGAGAUUUUUCCAGAUUGGUGCAUUUUCAUGUCACUAGAUUCUGUUUAUCCACUAUGAUUCCAUUGUCCGGAUGAACCACUGUUCCCCUCUUAAUGGACAUUUCAGUUAGUUCCAGGCCUUUGCUGAAAUGAACACCCUUCCUUAUAUAUCUCUGCACUCCUCAUCCCAGGUCUGAAGUCUGAGGAACUGGGGACAAUUGUGUGGUGUCGUGAUGGUGAGCAUGUAAACCACAUGUCUGCCCUGUGAAAGGAAGAUAAAUCUGGGGACCCCAAAAUCACCCUCCACCCCACGCACACUCACAACACAGCCUCCUCCAGGCAGCAGAACUGUUAAGCCUGUCAGAGACUCAGGCAGCUGCCAGGCACUAAAAAUAAACAGAUGAGCUCCUUUGUCUGCAUUUAGCAAGCAGGUUGCAGAAUUACAUCUGCCCAGGGUGACCCCACACCCUGGUUUGGGGGUAAGAAGAGAAGCAGCUUCCAGGCCAUCUUCCCAGCACCCCCUUGCCUUGGCUGUGCCAUCCACCCCACCCUCCACUGCUUUCCUCCUUCCUCCAGCAGAGGGAUUACCUGGGGCAGGAAAGGGGGCAGAGGACCCCUAUAUGGCCCUGGCAGGCCUCAGAGGCCCAUCUGGGAGAAGAGGACUUUGCAGGUUCAUUUCCACAAAAUGGGGAGCUCCCAGCACGACCUCUGGGAUCUGGGCAGCUGCUCAGCUGCUUUUCUGUUCAAUUGCAUCAAACUAAUGUGAACCUGAAAUGCUCUAAAAUUGAAGCAGGAAAAAUUGGAUCUGCUAUUGAUCCUCAUCACUUGGGUGACUCCUGUGACCCAUAUUAGCCACAACCCAGCCAAAAGCAACUGCCCUGAAAACAAAGAGUGUGUGUGGUUAUUUGAUUCUGUUCAGUUGUAGAUGGGAGGAGCCUGGGGUCCCCCAACUCAGCUGCCCUUGUCCCAGAUGAUGCAAAAAAAAAAAAAAAAAGUGAAGAUAAAGACAGAGGAAAGGGUGGGAACCAGGAUGGGGACAAGCAACCCUUCCAUUGCCUGUAGAAAGGUUUUCAGGAAAAAGAUUUGCUGGCAUAGAAAAGGCUGUUGGAGCAGGGCAGCUCUAGGGGCUCCUGGGACCUCCCUUCCCACAGGUGUCAGGGAAGCAACCUCAGGCCACUUCUGCUGCGCCAUGUCUGCAGUCCCACACCCAGCCUACUGUGCGCAGCAUGUGGGGUGCUCUUUAAAGUACAUGAUGUCCUGUGUAAGUUAAAAACUCAUGUUCCAGAAACAGCAUCCUGGAAAGUCAGGACUGAGGCCUUGGAGAGUAAAUAGACCAGCAGCUCCCAAGUCUGGCACACAUGAGAGUCAUCAGCAGCUCUGACAGGUGCAGACUCCCAGGUCACCCCCGAGGGCGUCUGAUUCGGCAUGUGUGGGGUGGCGCCUGGGUAUAUGUAUUGUGAAAACAUGUCCAAGCUCAGGACCCUUAAUUUCCAAGCGAAUUGUGUUCUCUGGAGUCUUGGGAAUGGCAGAGGGACCCGGGGCUCCUGCAUGGUGAGGGGAGCUGAGCACGUGGGACCCCAGGCUCCUCACCUCUUGAACUGGAGCAUCCCACUCUCAUCCAUUCCAUAAACUGCAUCUUUGAUCGAUUGUAAGACACACCACAGUUUUAUGUACCACGCAGAAAGACACCGCCAGGUGCCAUGGAUUAUAAGAUGCAUAUCAGUCUCAUAGGCAGCAAAGGUGAAAUGUGUGUUCUAGAAUCCACAAAAUAGUGUAUGCGGUCCCUUCCUUCAGUGAUGUCCCACAGCUCUUAGAGUAAGCCUCACCUCCUCCACAUGACCCCAAGGCCCUGUGUGUCCAGCCCUUGCCUACCUCUCCAGCCACCUCCCCAAACCAUUCUCGCCUCCUCUGCGCUCCCGCCCUCUGGCUGCCUUCUUUCAGACCCCAGCAUCCUCCUCGUUUCCUCCCCAGACAGGAACUUUGCACAGGCCAUACAUUCUUCCCUUUCCUUCUUAACCUACUCUCUUUGAGAGCACAACUCAACUGCCGCUUCCUUGGGAAGGCCUUCCCUCAUCCUCUUUGCUAGAUCACACCACCACCACCAUUAUUCUGUCUUGUGGCCCCUCCGCAGCGCUGGUCCCAGCCACAAUCUCACCUUGCUGUGUGGGAUUAGGUGAUGAAUGCCAGACUUCCCUGAUUGACGGUAAGCCACAUGUAAGUAGAGACUGUCCUGGUUUAACCUGCCAUAGAAUCCCUUGUGCCUACCACUGUGCCUGGCACUCAGUAGGUACACAACAAUCUACACUGGGCUGGUACCCCUCCCCACCAACAUGGGGCUCCAGGUUUCAGUGACCUGAAAGGGCAAAGUUGUAAGGGUCAGUCUGGGAGAGAAGCCUUAUGGGCCCAUGCCAGUCCACAGCUGGGGCAUGAGGGUGGAGAGAUGGCAGCCAGUGCACACGCCUGCACAAUGGUUGCCCCAGCUCCUCCUCCCCAGCUUCCUCACUGGGUCUCAGGCCAGCCUGUUUGCUCAGCUGCCUUAUGGAGUUCAAUUCUGCUUUCCUGCCCCUCUGCACUCCACCUCCACCUGCCAUUCACUGAAGAAACCAAACCAGAGACAGCCAAAGGAGAGGGGAUAAGACCGCCCACCAGUCUGUCCACCAAGCCCGCAGGAGAAACAGGCGCCCAGGCCCCAGCCAAGGAGAGAUGGUCCUGCAAAAAUUCAUCAUCAAGAGUCUGGGGUUUGGAGUCGGGCUGUCUGGGUCUGAGCCACUCCCCAGCAUUGGGCAAAUUCCUUCGAUUUCUCUUAAGACUCAAUUUCUUCCUCUGUAAAAUGGGGAUUGCAAGAGCAGCUUUGCAGGGUGGCUUUGUGAAACACCUAAGGCGUUGAACUUGACUGAGGGCUUCUGCAAUAGCACCCGUGGCCUGGGAAGUGCUUAGCACAUGCUCUGAUGCAGCAUGAGUGCUAUUAUGAUCCCCCUGUGUGGGGAGCCGGAGUCUCGCCCCCAGGGCCUGCUGAGCUGUCAUCGACCUGGCUGCCCGCAUUGAUCUGGCCAGGACCCCCUCGGGAGUCCCAUCUGCAUGGACAGGCCACCCUCUGCCCCUGGGUGGCUGCCCUUUGCCAAGUUCACGGUCUGGAGCAGUCGGCCAGCUGGGCCUCCCACUAAUGAGUGCCUCGUCCUGCCCAGACCAGCUCUCCUUACUCUCCAUCGAUCCUUGACCUUCCUGGGGAAGCUCCCUCCUCCACUUCUGCCUCUACAUGGUUGCUACUGCUGCUCACCCCAGACUCUCGUCGGCUCUGGCAGGACCUCGCUCUGUCCAGGCACCCCUGAGCCUGGGAGCCCCAACCACUCAUCCCCCCGACAUGUGUGCUCAAGGCCAGGGCUGUGGUCUGGGUUCAGAUCUCGACUUGGCGCCUGGUUAAACCAAUGCUAGGACCAAGAGAUUCGAUAGCAAGUUAUGAACUGAACAUUUGUGACCCCCAAAUUCACAUGCCAUCACCCCCACUAUGGCUAUAUUUGGAGAUGGGGCCCCUAAGGGAGUAAUUAAGGUUAAAUGAGGUCCUGAGGGUGGGGCCCUGUGGACCCAAGGCGGGUACUAUUGUCCUCAUAAGAAGAGACACCAGAGAACUCAUUCCCUCUCUCCACGCACACACAAAGCGAGAUGGCAACAGCCCACGGCCAAGAGAAGGGUGAAACCUCUCUGGUAAUAAAGCUUACCUUGCUGGCACCUUGAUCUUGGACCUUCCAACCUCCAGAACUGUGAG
rnacentral:lncRNA from 1 species